rnacentral:lncRNA from 1 species
GAGAAAAAAUAAAUUUAAUAGAGGGGAUGAGGGUUUUCCAGGAGUAGCUUACCUAAUUUCCAGAUGCUUGUCCCUAGGUGAUAGUAGAAGAAGAUAAUCUCAUCAUUAGGAGCACAAAGCGCUCUCCAUCUAGUUCAUAGUUUUCCCAGAGUUGGAAUAUCCCUGCCCUGGGCCAUUAACGGUUUCUUGCAAACGAAAAUAAGAUUAAUAUAUGCUUGAUGACUAUUAUUAAUUUAAUUACCUAACAAAGUUACUUAAAUAAUGCAAACAAUCAUAUUUUAAUUAAAGAAAUU